AAAGAAAAAAAAAUAAUGUAUGGAAGUCAACGGAGAGAUAACUUAUUUUAUAGUUCAGAUUCCCUUAUGCAUUGGAUUUAAUACAUGAUGAUUAACUUUUAUGACAACCCUUCACACCAACAAAGUGUUGUUUUUCAACAGACAGUAAAAAUGGUUCUUGAAUCUACACAGGAAGGCUACACUGAAUGAAGGCUCCAAGUGCAUUUAGGCAUUGGACUUUGCACAAGUGAAGUGUUCAGAAAAGGUCCUGUCAAUUUGGUUCCGUCAGAGGAAGGAAACAGCUGAUAAAGUUUGAUUUUUGGCUGGGCUAUGCCAUUAAGAUAUUUUUAAAACUUAAAUUUAUUUAUUAUUGUUGUUAUUUACUUUCAGUUAAAUUUAACUUUGAAGUGAUCGCUCAUAUUUUGUAUCCAAGCCAGUUUGUCGUCAUAUUUUUUUCUAAAUAAAGCAAGA